rnacentral:snRNA from 1 species
AUGCUCUGGUUUCUCUUGAUAACAAAUCUUUCGCCUUUUACUAAAGAUUUCUGUGGAGAGGAACAAUUAUGAGUUUAUAACCGAAUUUUUUUAUGUCCUGCUUAGUCAGGGCU